UCCUACGGGGCGCAGCAGUGGGGAAUAUUGCACAAUGGGCGCAAGCCUGAUGCAGCCAUGCCGCGUGUAUGAAGAAGGCCUUCGGGUUGUAAAGUACUUUCAGCGGGGAGGAAGGGAGUAAAGUUAAUACCUUUGCUCAUUGACGUUACCCGCAGAAGAAGCACCGGCUAACUCCGUGCCAGCAGCCGCGGUAAUACGGAGGGUGCAAGCGUUAAUCGGAAUUACUGGGCGUAAAGCGAGUGCAGGCGGUUCAAUAA
rnacentral:rRNA from 1 species